CAGCCGCCGCGGUAAUGCGUAGGUGGCAAGCGUUGUCCGGAAUUAUUGGGCGUAAAGGGCUCGCAGGCGGUUUCUUAAGUCUGAUGUGAAAGCCCCCGGCUCAACCGGGGAGGGUCAUUGGAAACUGGGAAACUUGAGUGCAGAAGAGGAGAGUGGAAUUCCACGUGUAGCGGUGAAAUGCGUAGAGAUGUGGAGGAACACCAGUGGCGAAGGCGACUCUCUGGUCUGUAACUGACGCUGAGGAGCGAAAGCGUGGGGAGCGAACAGGAUUAGAUACCCCCGUAGUCCCUGUCUCUUAUAC
rnacentral:rRNA from 1 species